rnacentral:tRNA from 1 species
GGAGCUGUUGGCGUAGUGAGCAAACCCUCGGCUUGCCAAGCCGAAGGUCCCGGGUUCGAUUCCCGUUGGGUCCC